rnacentral:lncRNA from 1 species
AAAGAGUUUGGAUGGCCAUGCACGCAUGGGUUACUUGUAUUAGGGUUGGAUAAAAAAUUAAUGGGUGGAAAUGGUGAAGAAGCUAGUGAGAGAAGUGGGCAUAAUAGGCAUGAAAGAUGGUUAUGAAUGGUGUAGGAGGAUGUGGGCAUGGGAUUUGGUUUAGGUGGGAAAUGAAUUUCAUGAGAAGGCUUGGGAAGAAUGCUAGGGGGUCAUGUGCAUAAACUACAUGCACGUGGGAGGAUAGGAAAUGAAUGGUGGGGGAUGAGGUAGGUGGUAAGAAUAUGGGUAUGGUGAGGGGUAUAAUGGAUGAAGGGUGACGAUGUAUGCAUGGGACUUCAUGUACAUGAGGGGAUAAAAAAAUAAACAAGUGGGGGAAUGAAUGGUGGAUUGGGUGAUGGAAGGUAGUGAUGAGAUAGAUGGGUUAGAUUGGUAAGAAAGAUAAAGAGAUGAGUAUGGUAAUAGGUGUAUUGGGAUAUGAAGGUUAGGAAAAUGGUGAGAGGAAGGUGUAAAUACAUGGACACACAUGGAUUUAU